UAGUCACGCUGUAAACGAUGUCGAUUUGGAGUUUGGGGGCAUGACCCUUGGGCUCCGGAGCUAACGCGUUAAAUCGACCGCUGGGGAGUACGGCCGCAAGGUUAAAACUCAAAUGAAUUGACGGGGGCCCGCACAAGCGGUGGAGCAUGUGGUUUAAUUCGAUGCAACGCGAAGAACCUUACCUGGUCUUGACAUCCAUAGAAUCUUUCAGAGAUGAGAGAGUGCCUUCGGGAGCUAUGAGACAGGUGCUGCAUGGCUGUCGUCAGCUCGUGUUGUGAAAUGUUGGGUUAAGUCCCGCAACGAGCGCAACCCCUAUCCUUUGUUGCCAGCACGUAAUGGUGGGAACUCAAAGGAGACUGCCGUUGAUAAAGCGGAGGAAGGUGGGGACGACGUCAAGUCAUCAUGGCCCUUACGACCAGGGCUACACGCGUGCUACAAUGGCGUAUACAAAGGGAUGCGAAGGUGCGAACUGGAGCGGACCUCACAAAGUACGUCUAAGUCCGGAUUGGAGUCUGCAACUCGACUCCAUGAAGUCGGAAUCGCUAGUAAUCGUGAAUCAGAAUGUCACGGUGAAUACGUUCCCGGGCCUUGUACACACCGCCCGUCACACCAUGGGAGUGGGUUGCACCAGAAGUAGAUAGCUUAACCUUCGGGAGGGCGUUUACCACGGUGUGGUUCAUGACUGGGGUGAAGUCGUAACAAGGUAACCA
rnacentral:rRNA from 1 species